rnacentral:lncRNA from 1 species
AUAAGUAGGUUAGAUAAAAGUGUUUUAUCAGAGUUAAAUUUACUGAAGUUGAUAACUGUGGUUAUUUAGGAGAAUAUCCCAAUUCUUAGGAAAUACACACUGAAAUAAUUAGAGGUAAAGGGCCGUGAUGUAGGCAAGCUACUCUCAAAUAGUCAGAAAAAGUAUUGCAGUUUCCCCCCGCUAUCCAAAAGUUCAUUUUAGUCCUCUUUGCUUUUACAAAAGACCUACCUUAGUACCUGCUUUCGCUAACCGAAAGAAAUCCAAAGAGGAUUUUUGCUUCUACCAAAAAAGGUGAAAAGCAAAAACAGAUUCAGCGUUCCUUUUACAGUGAGCCGUUAUCAAGGCAGCGGGAGUGGCGCCGCCAAGCUCCUUCCCCGGGAACUACACUCAGCAUCUCAGCAUCAAGCCGCCACAGCUUUGAAGUGUCUGUGAGCGCCCGUGCUUUAUCUCCAUUUAUUUUGGGGUAAGAGUGAAAUGCUCAAUUACUCAGCCAAAUUUGCAGCAAGAUGUAGUCAAUGUGACUCACUUCUGAUCUUUAAGAGAAGGGACUGAACCAACUGGCUCAGGGAAGACGCUGAGGCAACAACUCUGCUUGCAUGUGCUAGAAGUCUAGACUGGCAGAAAAAGGGACGUAGCUCAUGGUGUGGCCACAAUAGGUAAUUUCGCAUCAUUGGCUGGGGGUAGGAAGGCAAAAUCAAG